GGCUGCAGUCGAGGAUCUUCGGCAAUGGGCGCAAGCCUGACCGAGCGACGCCGCGUGGAGGAUGAAGGCCUUCGGGUUGUAAACUCCUGUCGAGGGGGAGGAAGGGGAAACCUUGACCGAUCCCUGGAGGAAGCACGGGCUAAGUUCGUGCCAGCAGCCGCGGUAAGACGAACCGUGCGAACGUUAUUCGGAAUCACUGGGCUUAAAGCGCGUGUAGGCGGAUGGGAACGUCGGAUACUGAAAGCCCCCGGCUCAACCGGGGAAGUGGUUCCGAAACGACCUGUCUGGAGGGACGUAGGGGGAUCUGGAACUUCCGGUGGAGCGGUGAAAUGCGCUGAGAUCGGAAGGAACGCCCGUGGCGAAAGCGAGGUCCUGGACGUCUGCUGACGCUGAGACGCGAAAGCUAGGGGAGCAAACGGGAUUAGAUACCCCGGUAGUCCUAGCCGUAAACGAUGGGCACUGGGUAGGGGGCUCGCCGAUGGGCUCUCUGCCGUAGCGAAAGCGUGAAGUGCCCCGCCUGGGGAGUAUGGUCGCAAGGCUGAAACUCAAAGGAAUUGACGGGGGCUCACACA
rnacentral:rRNA from 1 species